ensembl:snRNA
GCGUUGUGUGAGAGACGGGUAGAGAAGGACGGAAGAGGCCCUUAGGCCUUAGAACAAGUAUGUGGUUAAGGCUUUGUCUCUUUCUCUGUGGCAUCUAACCACAGUUUUGG